GAUGAACGCUGACAGAAUGCUUAACACAUGCAAGUCUACUUGAACUUCGGUUUGGGUGGCGGACGGGUGAGUAACGCGUAAAGAACUUGCCUCACAGUUAGGGACAACAUUUGGAAACGAAUGCUAAUACCUGAUAUUAUGAUUUUAGGGCAUCCUAAGAUUAUGAAAGCUAUAUGCGCUGUGAGAGAGCUUUGCGUCCCAUUAGCUAGUUGGAGAGGUAACGGCUCACCAAGGCGAUGAUGGGUAGCCGGCCUGAGAGGGUGAACGGCCACAAGGGGACUGAGACACGGCCCUUACUCCUACGGGAGGCAGCAGUGGGGAAUAUUGGACAAUGGACCAAAAGUCUGAUCCAGCAAUUCUGUGUGCACGAUGACGUUUUUCGGAAUGUAAAGUGCUUUCAGUUGGGAAGAAAAAAAUGACGGUACCAACAGAAGAAGUGACGGCUAAAUACGUGCCAGCAGCCGCGGUAAUACGUAUGUCACAAGCGUUAUCCGGAUUUAUUGGGCGUAAAGCGCGUCUAGGUGGUUAUGUAAGUCUGAUGUGAAAAUGCAGGGCUCAACUCUGUAUUGCGUUGGAAACUGCAUGACUAGAGUACUGGAGAGGUAAGCGGAACUACAAGUGUAGAGGUGAAAUUCGUAGAUAUUUGUAGGAAUGCCGACGGGGAAGCCAGCUUACUGGACAGAUACUGACGCUAAAGCGCGAAAGCGUGGGUAGCAAACAGG
rnacentral:rRNA from 1 species